GUAUCUUGUGUCAUUUGAUGAAGAAUCUCACCACUGAUCUGGCUGGCUAGGCCGGUGUCCACUGCCUCCCUCAAUGCUACCUGUGUGUCCUUCCAGAAACCAUGAGCUAGGGUAAAGAGAAGAACCAACCUGAUAGAGGAGGACCAUUACCUUGGUCAGGGAUAUAGAAGUAGCUGGGUUCCCAUGCUAGAAACUCCAAAUAAGUUAUCAAGAUUCAAAUUUAAGAAAUUACUAAUGUUUACCUGUUGGGAGUCAUUGACGUUAAAGUUGACCAAAUGU
rnacentral:snRNA from 1 species